rnacentral:misc_RNA from 1 species
GGAUUCUUAGCCGUGGAUCCAUCUAGGGAGCCAAGAAUAUUCCUUUAAGAUAAUACUUUUCUACAGCUAAGCUUCCAUAAUUUCUCCGUUAGAAAAAUGAUCUCAAGUGCAAUGGUUUGUUUAACAUUGACGUUCGAUUAAGGAGAACAGUGGUGAUGAUCAAGUUGAUUCCUUUUUCAGUUUUUUGUUUGUUUACUUGUGGCAUUAGGUGGCGACAGGUUCAUGUGGGCUGGUCUUUUGUGUGAAACGUGAAUUGUACGAAUUUUAAUCGUAGCUUUUAACGUUUAUAUAAUAUUAUGUGAUAGAUUUGACUAAUAUAGUAUUUAGAGAGGACCUGUUGCUGGGAAAACAGCUAGUAGUUAGGACUUAGGACCCUUAGCAGAAGAGUAGGAGAAGCUGAGCCAAAUCCAUGGCUUUAACAUCAAAUGCAGGUUAUGUUCUCAUCAUAUUUCUAUCGCUUAUACUUGUGUCGACUGCAAGGCCAAUUUAUCCUCUACCAAGUAAAAUAAGCCAUGGUAGCAAACAGCCUUUACAGACAUCUCGUCCAUAUAAUAUUGCACAUCGAGGAUCAAAUGGAGAGAUUCCUGAGGAAACUGCUGCUGCAUACAAGAGAGCCAUUGAAGAAGGAGUAGACUUCAUAGAAGCAGAUAUCUUAUCCUCCAAAGAUGGUGUUCUUAUAUGCUUCCAUGAUGUUACCCUUGAUGACACAACUGAUAUUGCAGAGCACAAGGAGUUCGCAAAUCGUAAAAGGACCUAUGAUGUGCAAGGGGUCAACACUACUGGCUUUUUCACUGUUGAUUUUACCCUUGAAGAACUUAAGACAUUGCGGGUGAAGCAGAGAUAUCUGUUCCGGGAUCAACAAUACAAUGGAAAAUUUUCUAUUAUCAGUUUUGAAGACUUCAUAUCAAUUGCACUGGAUGCACCAAGAGUCGUUGGAAUAUACCCAGAAAUCAAAAAUCCUGUACUUAUCAACCAGCAUGUAAGAAAUUUCUUUCUAUGAGAUGUCUUGAAGAAUCACAAUGUGUUUAACUUUGCUAACAGUGGCAGUUUGGGAGCCAUUACUUUUCUGAAACAUUAUGAGAUAACUGUAGCAAUCUAUGUUGCCUUUCUCCAUUUUUCAUAAGAACCAAACUUUGUGGAAACAUGAGAUUUAGUGUUUGGUUAUACAAUGUUUGAAUCAUACCAACAGGUGAAGUGGUCAGAUGGGAAGCGAUUUGAGGACAAGUUUGUUGGUACUCUUAAGAAGUAUGGAUAUAACGGUUCAUAUAUGUCAAAGGAUUGGCUGAAACAACCUAUUUUUAUCCAAUCCUUUGCUCCAACUUCACUCGUGUAUAUAUCAAAUCUGACAGACUCGCCCAAAAUCUUCUUGAUUGAUGAUGUUACCAUUCCAACUCAAGAUACUAAUCAGUCUUAUUGGGAAAUCACUUCUGAUGCUUAUCUGGACUACAUUAAGGACUACGUGGUGGGCAUUGGACCCUGGAAGGAUACAGUUGUUCCUGUGGUGAAUAAUUAUUUGCAAGCAUCUACAGAUCUUGUUGUCAAAGCACAUUCCCAUGAUCUACAGGUGCACCCAUACACUUACCAGAAUGAGGAUUCAUUCUUGCACUACAACUUUCAUCAAGACCCAUAUGAAGAAUAUGAUUAUUGGAUUAACACAGUAGGAGUUGAUGGACUCUUUACAGACUUCCCAGGCAGCCUCCAUAAUUUUCAGGAAUGGACUUCACCUCUCUCUAAAGAUGAAUGUGCAUCUAAACUAUUGCAUAAGAUAGCAUUGUUGACCGCUUCAUAUAAAAAUUGAUAAGAGAACCAAAUUUAGUUAAUUGUCAUCAUUAGGUUCAGAUUCUCCAGGCAACAUUUCUUAUUUGUUCAUAGGAGAGUUUCCGGCUUCCGUAUAUUGAAUUUCCUGCUGAGAAUAAUAAAUGACGUUUGAUGAGUUAUUCAAUAGAAAAUGUUAUAUUUUGCUUGUUUCACUGUAUUCUCAGUCAUUAGAUGACAAUUUUAAUUACUAAUCUCAGAACCUUUUCUUUUCCUUAAAAUUAAUUAUUCUGGGAAAU